rnacentral:rRNA from 1 species
UACGAAGGGGGCUAGCGUUGCUCGGAAUCACUGGGCGUAAAGGGCGCGUAGGCGGAUCUUUUAAGUCGGGGGUGAAAGCCCAGGGCUCAACCCUGGAAUUGCCUUCGAUACUGGAGAUCUUGAGACCGGAAGAGGUAAGUGGAACUGCGAGUGUAGAGGUGAAAUUCGUAGAUAUUCGCAAGAACACCAGUGGCGAAGGCGGCUCACUGGCCCGGUACUGACGCUGAGGUGCGAAAGCGUGGGGAGCAAACAGG